rnacentral:rRNA from 1 species
GACGAACGCUGGCGGCGUGCUUAACACAUGCAAGUCGAACGGAAAGGCCCCUUUGGGGGUACUCGAGUGGCGCACGGGUGAGUAACACGUGAGUAACCUGCCCUUGACUUCGGGAUAACUUCAGGAAACUGGGGCUAAUACCGGAUAGGAAUCCUUGCUGCAUGGUGGGGGUUGGAAAGCUUCGGCGGUUUUGGAUGGACUCGCGGCUUAUCAGCUUGUUGGUGGGGUAGUGGCUUACCAAGGCUUUGACGGGUAGCCGGCCUGAGAGGGCGACCGGCCACAUUGGGACUGAGAUACGGCCCAGACGCCUACGGGAGGCAGCAGUGGGGAAUAUUGCACAAGGGGCGGAAGCCUGAUGCAGCAACGCCGCGUGCGGGAGGACGGCCUUCGGGUUGGAAACCGCUUUCAGCAGGGGCGAAGCUUGUGGUGACGGUACCUGCAGAAGAAGCACCGGCUAACUACGUG